GUUAGCUAUAGGGAACCCGGUUUCAGUCGGUAACCCCGGCGCGGCGGAGCUUCUGUCGCAGCGACGGUCGCGCGGGUGAGCAGCGCAGGGCCCUGCGGCGCGGUGGAGGGCGCUGUCCGCGUCCCCGCGCCGCGGCUCUGUAAGGGACGGAGCGCCCCGGGCCGAGGCACCAGAAGCCUGCGAAGUGCGAGGCCUUUGGGAUUGGGGUCUGAGGCUUGGGCUCUGCCUGGGCCGCGGAGACCCUGAAGUGGGUGAGGCGGCCCCGGGAGCAUGAGCGGGCAGCGCGUGGACGUCAAGGUGGUUAUGCUGGGCAAGGAAUACGUGGGCAAGACGAGCCUGGUGGAACGAUACGUGCACGACCGCUUCUUGGUGGGGCCCUAUCAGAACGUGAGUGCACCCCUGCGGAGCAGGCUUGGGAGGAAGGGGGCCGACCGGCAUUCGACUCUUAUCUCUUCCCUGGUUGUAGACCAUCGGGGCUGCUUUUGUGGCCAAGGUGAUGUGUGUUGGAGAUCGGACGGUGACUCUGGGUAUUUGGGACACAGCAGGUUCCGAGCGCUACGAAGCCAUGAGCAGAAUCUAUUACCGGGGUGCUAAAGCUGCAAUUGUCUGUUAUGGUAAGGGGUUGGACUCUGGCCUGUUCAAGUAAGAGUUGGGUUACAGGCCAGCAUCAACGGGAAGCCACUGUUCCUUAUUGUGUCUCCUGUCUUACCCCUACCAAGACCUCACCGACAGCAGCAGCUUUGAGAGAGCCAAGUUCUGGGUUAAGGAGCUCCGCAGUUUAGAAGAGGGCUGUCAAAUCUACCUGUGUGGCACUAAGAGUGAUCUGCUGGAGGAAGACAGGCGGCGCCGUCGUGUAGACUUCCAUGACGUUCAGGACUACGCUGAUA
rnacentral:lncRNA from 1 species